GACGAACGCUGGCGGCGUGCUUAACACAUGCAAGUCGAACGGAAAGGCCCUGCUUUUGUGGGGUGCUCGAGUGGCGAACGGGUGAGUAACACGUGAGUAACCUGCCCUUGACUUUGGGAUAACUUCAGGAAACUGGGGCUAAUACCGGAUAGGAGCUCCUGCUGCAUGGUGGGGGUUGGAAAGUUUCGGCGGUUGGGGAUGGACUCGCGGCUUAUCAGCUUGUUGGUGGGGUAGUGGCUUACCAAGGCUUUGACGGGUAGCCGGCCUGAGAGGGUGACCGGCCACAUUGGGACUGAGAUACGGCCCAGACUCCUACGGGAGGCAGUAGUGGGGAACAUGACACAAUGGGCGGAAGCGUGAUGCAGCAACGCCGCGUGCGGGAUGACGGCCUUCGGGUUGUAAACCGCUUUCGCCUGUGACGAAGCGUGAGUGACGGUAAUGGGUAAAGAAGCACCGGCUAACUACGUG
rnacentral:rRNA from 1 species